rnacentral:rRNA from 1 species
UGGGGAAUAUUGGACAAUGUGGCGAAAGCCUGUAUCCAGCCAUGCCGCGUGUAGUGAAGAAGGUCUUCGGAUUGUAAAGCACUUUAAGUUGGGAGGAAGGGCAGUAAGUUAAUACCUUGACUGUUUUGACGUUACCGACAGAAUAAGCACCGGCCUAACUCUGUGC